CAACCUUGAACUUCCUGUCCGUCAUUUUGGCCGUACGCCUUGUUCUUGUUGUCCCUGAUAAUCGUACGUUCGCUUAAAAAAGGCCUUUAACCUAAAAAUUUCGGUGAUUUUCCGCCUUGAUCAGCAUAUCAACAGCGAAUAUUUAAUUUAAUAAUCAUGGAGCAAAUGGAUGACCCCGCUGGAUCGGAUAAUAAACGAGCUAUAGCGCGGAAAAGGAGUUGAAGAUGCUAAACGAGGACUUCAGAGAGGACAAGCUUUCAACAUCAGCACCGUCCAUCACUUUGUCCCUCCCCUCAAACCUAAACACCAAGCACAGCAGGCACUGGUUUAGCCAGAGUCCUCUCCCCUAAUACUCUGUUUGAGUCCAGCAGUCUCGUCGCAAGCGUUUCUAUGGGUGGUAAUGAAGGAGGUGGACGAGGAGGAGAGCGAUGGAGCUUCUUCGGUGUGCGGCCCAUCGUGCAAAAAUCCCCCACUGACCCAGGAUCAGAAACAAACACCCCUGGGGGAUUUCCUCUGCAGUCUUUCUUUGGGCUUCAGAAGUCCAACACGAUGGAUGCCCUCAAGACCCAAAUAAACCUGAGCGUUGAAGAUCCCGCCAACUUCAAAUCUCCUAAGAUCGAGAUGAGCGGCGAGGAGGCCAAGAAAACCUCUCACAGACUGAGACACAGAGACAUGAACAUUCUCACCCCCUCCGGUUUCUGAACUCCAUACUCACACACACACACACACACACACACACACACACACACACUUUUCUCUCAAGCUUCCUCUCCAAAACUGACAGAUCCCACUCUUACUGCUGUUUAAAUGUGUGAGUAGCCACACACACAUUCAAAACGCAUCUUUUUCGGCACAUAACUUAAAUAGAAUUACCCCUUAAAUUAGAUUAGAGAUGUAGAAUCUCUACAAUUAGUGCCAAACAUCCUCGAUAGUUAUUUUUAUCUCCCUUUCCUAUUAUAGUAACCGAUUGAACACUUUUUUUCUGUACAUUUCGAUUUGUUUUUAUUAUUAUUAUUACUAUAUGCUCUGACAAAGUAAAUGCUCUCAAUUAACUGUGGUAACAGAUAGAAAAUCUGAAUAUGCAUAUUUACAGAUUCGCUUUAAUUUCGAAAUAGAUGUGAGAUGCGUUCAUCACCAGUUCAUCCGUUAACAGUAAUUCCGAGUUUUGUGGUCCAUUUUCAAAAGCUUAUGGUGUAAUAACUACAUUUUCAUUCGAUUCAUGGAGUUUUACCAGUGACAGCAGUUCGUUGUGGUUAUUAAGCACAUCAAUAGCGUAACAUACUGUCGCAAACAACACAACAUGCAAUCUUAAGGUCAGAAUUGACUAGACACUGUCAGGUAUCCAUUUUUCCACGUAGCUGAAACAUGUUUAAGUGCCGUUUUUGUGAUUUGUUUUGUUUAGAGAAACUCUGCACUUUUUUUGCAGCUAGGCUCAUUUUUACAAGUCAUCUGAAGUUUAAUAGUUGAGUUUUACCAUUUUUCAAUCCAUUCAGUCGAUAUCUGGGUUUAACAGGAGCACUUUUAGCUUAGCUUAGCAUAAAUAAUUGAAUAGGAAUGGACCGUUGGCAUCUCGCUAAAAAAUGUAAAAAUAAGUUAUAAUUUUGCUAUUUAAAGCUUGACUUUUCUGUUAACGGAAAACGGAAGUUGCUAUUUUCAAGACUGAUAUGGCUAGGAACUCUAUUCUUUCACCAGAAUGAGAGUAUAGUUCCUAGGUAUGGCUAAGAACUCUAUUAUUACACCAGAAUGAGAGUAUAGUUCCCCGAUAUGCCUAGGAACUAUAACACCAGAAUAAGAGUAUAGACCCCUGAUAUGUCUUGGAACUCUAUUAUUACACCAGAACGAGAGUAUAGUUCCUCGAUAUGCCUUGGAACUAUAUUAUUAAGCCAGAAUGAGAGUAUAGAUCCCUGAUAUGGCUAGGAACUCUAUUAUUAAACCAGAAUGAGAGUAUAGUUCGCCGAUAUGGCUAGGAACUAUAUUAUAACACCAGAAUAAGAGUAUAGACCCCUGAUAUGGCUUGUAACUUUAUUAUUACACCAGAAUGAGAGUAUAGAUCCCUGAUAUGGCUAAGAACUCUAUUAUUACACCAGAAUGAGAGUAUAGUUCGCCGAUAUGGCUAGGAACUAUAUUAUAACACCAGAAUAAGAGUAUAGACCCCUGAUAUGGCUUGUAACUCUAUUAUUACACCAGAAUGAGAGUAUAGAUCCCUGAUAUGGCUAAGAACUCUAUUAUUACACCAGAAUGAGAGUAUAGUUCGCCGAUAUGGCUUGGAACUCUAUUAUUACACCAGAAUGAGAGUAUAGUUCCACGAUAUGGCUAAGAACUCUUAUUAUUACACCAGAAUGAGAGUAUAGGUCUCCAUUAUGUCUUGGAACUCUAUUAUAACACCAGAAUAAGAGUAUAGAUCCCUGAUAUGGCUAGGAACUCUAUUAUUACACCAGAAUGAGAUCAUAGUUCCACGAUAAAGCUAAGAAUUCUAUUAUUACACCAGAAUGAGAGUAUAGUUCCCCGAUAAGGCUAGGAACUGUGUUAUUACACCAGAAUGAGAGUGUAGUUCCCCGAUCUGGCUAGGAAUUGUAUUAUUACGCAAGAAUAAGAGUAUAGUUCCUAACCCUAUCGACAUGAAAAAUAAAUAAUUUUUUUUGAGCGAAAUGCUAUUGGUCUAAUCCAAUUCAAUGAUUUAUGCUAAGCUAAGUGCUACCGCCAGACCCCGAGAUUGGCUGAAUAGGUUUAAAAUAGUAAAACUCAACUAAUCAACUCUAAGUUGUAAAAUUAGCCUUUUUCUUAAAAAAAGUGGUGUUCUUUUAAUGCAGAUUAUUACUUUAUUAAUGGAUGACAUCAGAUUGAGCUGGUGAUUUCUGUGGUGUGUUCCCCGUGUGCAAUAAGCUACAGCAUCGUUUGUAUCAGCAUGCUGAAAGCAUCUCAUUCCUAUCACUGGGUUUCACACACAUAUUUUCCCCCCCUGUAUACUUUUUGUGUAUUGUACAUUAUCGCACACAACAGCCAAGUACUAUUUCGAAGGUUUGCUGUGUAUGCCGAAGCUGGAAUCGUUUAGCUGUUUUUGUAUAUUUGUAGUGGAAAUAUUUUGGCUUUACAAUAUUCCACUCUGUGCUCAAUUUGUAGUUUGUUUUCUUUUUCUUUUAUAUGAUUAUCUUCAAUUUUGUAAACCGAAGUGGCUUUUGCAUCUCAGGCCAAACCAUUUUAACACCAGUCACGUGUUGCAUAGUUAUCAUAUUAUCUGUUCCAUAACGCUCAGUUCGAGUAUUUGAUUCCUGUAAUAAAACAUUGCUGACAAGCACAAUGAAAA